AAUUCUCAGUUCCUAACGCUUCUAAAACUGGUGACUAUUUCAAGAAACUAGCCCAUGCGCUUGGGUCAUGUCUGUUUAUGAAAAGGUUAAAAGGGUUGUUUUGUUGUUACUGUUUUAAGCUAAAAAUCCUUUUAGAUGUCCAUAAUCUGUUAAUGCGUGGCAUAAAUAUUACUCUGUGGUAAAGGAUAACUACAGCUUAUAAAUGUAAAUUCAGGCGUUGGACAAUCGAAGGCUACACUCGACUUAAAGCAGCAGCACAAACAAACAAGAUGUCACUUAAAGACAACCCAUGCAGGUCCAGCUCACGUGAAAGAAAGCUAACAGAGAAAGGCCAAGAAAUGCAUGACCAAGACACCAGAAAACGUGAGAAAGCAUUUAACAAGACCUAUGACGCUUGGAAGCUGGUAGCAAGGGAGACUAGGACAAAAUUAAAAACCCUCUGUUCAUCAGAAGACCUUAUUGAAUUACAGCAAGACAUUCAAGCAAAGCAUGAUGGCGUGUGCCAGCAGUAUGAACCUCUACUUCGUAACAGUAACACCACACCAGAGAUUGUAAAGAAAAUGGAUGCCUGUGUUACGCUAACAAAAGACAUUCGUGACCUUAUUAGUAACCGUCUAGAGACUAUUAAUCAAGAUUAUAAUGAUCAACUUGAGAAGGAAAGGGUAAGAGAAACAUUAAACAAAGAUGAAUAUGGGUCUGUCUUUGGCCACACUAAAACUGAAACGGUAAGCUCAGCGGAGUCACCGGAGAGAUUGAGCAACCACUCCAGCUCAACCAGUACCCACAGCAGUAGAGUAGAUGCACAAGCAGAGCUUGCGGCUAAGCUGGAACAAUCAAAAGCCAUGAAAGAAAUCCAAGCACAGCAAGCACAUCUUCACAAGUUAGAAGGUGAAUGGAAACUUAAAGAGGCAAAAAUGUUAGUAGAAAUAAAACAAAAAGAGUUGGAAAUGCAACAACAGUUGGAACAAGAGAGAACCAAAUUGCAGCAGUUACAAGCAGCAAAAGACGUUGCCAUAGCAGCAGCUCGUGUGAGAGCAUAUGACAAUUUUGAAGGGUUUGAGAACCAUGAUGAGGAGAUUAAUGACCAAACUAACUCUGCUUGCUACAGAAAGCAAAAUGAACCUCGAUUAAAUCCUGAUGCUGCAUCAUUCCAUCCACACCAAGCUGCUCCUGAGGUGACAAUGACCCAGGAGUCUGUCAGUCUAGCCCAGGUAAUCGCCAGCUCAUUAAGCAUGAACCGCUUGCCGGUCCCUGAACCAACCACGUUCCGUGGUGACCCUUUACAGUUUACAGAUUGGAAGAUGACAUUCAUAGCUCUUAUUGAUAGAAAACCCCUCCCACCAAGUGAGAAGAUGUUUUAUCUAAAAAAUUAUCUUGCUGGAGAGGCGCGCAAAGCGGUAGAAGGUUUCUUUUAUCGAGAUUCAGAAAGUGCAUACAAUGGAGCAUGGAAAGUCUUACAAGACAGAUAUGGGAACCCGUUCAUCAUACAAAAGGCUUUCAGAGAUAAGCUCAUGAGAUGGCCAAAGAUCAACACAAACGAUCCACUAGCACUACAAGAGUUCGCUGACUUCCUCCAAGGCUGCACUGAGGCGAUGCCCCACGUCAAAGGACUAGCUAUCCUUAACGAUUGUGAGGAAAACCACAAGUUGCUCAAAAAAUUACCAGAAUGGAUUGUGCGCAAGUGGAGUCGAAUUGUUGUAGAGGAACUUGACACAUCCGGAAGCUAUCCAGAUCUUGCAUGCUUCACAAACUUCCUGAGCAAAGAGGCACGGAUAGCCUGUAACCCUAUUGCUUCUCCAUUGUUGAUGAACUUCAGGGCCACAAAUGAAAGAUCACCAAAGAGAGCCAAAGCUCUCAACACAAAUACACAAACAAAGAGUUUCGCUCAGGAGAAACAAGAAACAAACGGCAGUAAA
ensembl:lncRNA